UACGGAGGGGGCAAGCGUUGAUCGGAAUUACUGGGCGUAAAGCGCACGUAGGCGGAUGUUUAAGUCGGGGGUGAAAUCCCGGGGCUCAACCCCGGAAUGGCCUUCGAUACUGGACGUCUGGAGGUCGGGAGAGGGGAGUGGAAUUCCGGGUGUAGAGGUGAAAUUCGUAGAUAUUCGGAGGAACACCAGUGGCGAAGGCGGCUCUCUGGCCCGAUACUGACGCUGAGGUGCGAAAGCGUGGGGAGCAAACAGG
rnacentral:rRNA from 1 species